UCUGGAUAAACUUGUAUUCAUCCAAGAGAAUGAAGCAAGUCACUUUACAGAAUUAGAAUAAGUAACACAUUUUGGGAUUGCCAAAGGCUUACAUAUAAGUGAAAUCCUUGAAUGACAGGAUAACCGUAUGUCCUUUAAUACAAUCUGUAUUAUAAAAAUAAUCUUGAAUAGCUUUAGAUAAGUUUUCAAGUUACGUUGAA
rnacentral:sRNA from 12 species